UCUCUAAAAAUAUUUUUGGCAGCUAUAAACCGUUCCUUCUUAAUAUUUCUGAUUUGUAUACCUAAAUGGCGAGUUACUUCUUGCCAUUGCCAAAAAUCCAUUUAUACUACUUUCAGGUAACAUCGUCACCUUUCUUGUAUCAGUAGCCAAUUGAAGAUACCAAAAAAUGACACCAGCUUGAUAAAUUCAUCAGCUGUAGUCAACUCUUUAAAGCCAUUUACUUUCAAUUCAAUUUCCUAUUUCCUUCUUCUUAAUAUGUGUUAAUAUGUGUUGAUUGCUUUUUUUCGUUUCGAUCUAGUGGGCUUGAUUUCAUCCUUUGCCAGAUAGGAAUCACCAUCAUAUGAGUUGGAAAGUAAGAGAUAUGCACCCUAGAGUAAUCCAGCUCGAGAUUCUUAAACUAUUUAUCCUUUUUAAUCUAAUUAAAAUUUUUUCCUUUGGGUGAUAAUUUUCCAUCGAGUUUGAAUUACCCAAACUUCUCAAUUAUCUAACACCCCAAGAUUUCAAAGUAAAUAUUGUUAUCGCAGUGCAUAGUAGAUUUUAAUGAGCGCUUGAAUACUUCGGGCCCAUGGAAAUCAUAUCAAGGUUAAACAGUAGCAUGCGCACACUAUAUUUUACUAUACUAUACUAUAAUACUUUAAGUAGGGCCAAAAGUUGAUGGCUUGAAAAAUGGGUUAAAUGUUGAAAAAGGC